AGACAGGGUGGCGGCAGCGGAUCUUUCCGGUGUGCAAAAUAUUGAAGUUACUUGGAGCUCGCCUUUGGCGUCGGGAACGGGCCAUGGGGCAGCCAGCGCCCCUUGCUCUUUGGGGCAUAGAAUCGGGACAAAGGUGUGGGGGGAGCGGGGAGCGAGUCAACCUUUAUUCAGUCCGAGAAGCUUCGGGGUGCGGUAGACACACAAGACGGGGAGAGGGACGAGAAGAAAGCAAACGGGGAGUGAGAGGUUUUCAAGCCACGGCGUUAUUGGGCUCUGUGGGCCAGCAUUGGGCAGGAGAGAAAAUGGCGACCAGCAGGACCCCGUAGCCCCAGGGUUCCCUCCCUGUUUGGAUUUGAGACCGGUGGGAGCGGGGGCUUCCAGCCAACCUGCUUUUAGCACAAGCUUAGGUUCCCAGAGCAACUGCGCCCAGGCGCUUGCAAAAGUCUCAACGCCUCCAUGCGCGUGCUCGCGCUCCCCCCUCCUAUGACAUCACGGCUCAUUACCCGGGAAACGCCAAUGACAUCAGCAGACAAAAAGGAAUGCGGGUCUUGGGAGUUGCUAAGCCCGUCGCGCGAGUAAAGCUUAAGGCAAUCUCGAGGGGGAAAGAUUGUGUGGCGUGUGCACAAUACAAGCGGCUUCCAAGUCCAAAAUAGGUUUGCACUGUCUGCAGUAGACAUUCAAAUGGCCAGAACGCAGAGGCGUAACUAUAGGAGGGGCAGGGGGGCACGUGCCCCGGGCACCAUCUUUUCUGGUCACGUGGGGGGAGCCACCAUGACAAAAAAAAAUUUUUUUUAAAUUUUUUAAAUUUUUUUUGUUAAUACAAAUGUUUCCUGCUCCGUGCAGCAGCGCUGCAGCAGUCAAGGGAGCGCAUCGGCGCCCCCUCCCUCACGAGCGGUCCCUUCCGCGCCGCCCGUGCCCCCCCCAUUGCUUUGCUGGCACCUGGCGGCCAGUCAGUGGCCUGGCUUGGUGACGGCGGGCGCUUGUGAGGAAAAACCUAAUGUAGUAUGUUGGGGGGGGCGCGGGGGGGCGCCAUUUCAGUGCUUGCCCCGGGCGCCGUUUUCCCUAGUUACGCCUCUGCCAGAACGGAGCCCAUCAUCGGCAUGCUUGCUCCCCCGCCUCCCCCAAGUGAUUCUGCUGCAAGUGGCUGAUGGCUCAGUCUGCGGGACUCAGGGGCGCAGCGCGCCUGCUGCUCCUCCUGGGGCUCCUUCUCCCUCCCUCCCUCCCUCGUCAGCAUGGAAGGUAUGGAGCAGAGUCACGACCACCAGGCCCAGCCAGCCGGAUGGGUGUGAGCUGAAGCAGAAAGCCGGAGCGUAACCCAUGGAGCAGCCGAGGCAGGGGAGGAGGAGCCGGAGUCGCCUUUCAGCGCCUUUUAUGCCGGAGCACGUGCUGUGGUGGUAGAGUGAAAGGCAGAGCAAUGUGCUUCCAUCCACACAGCGCUACAGGAGGGUUUCCAGGCAGUCUCGGCCUCCCGUCCCUGUCCCUCCUUGCUGAAGAUAUAACCCAGCACGACUUCUGUCAUAAUGAAACUACAGGUACAUACCCCUACUCAAAAUUGCAGGACGUCUUCCCAUUAUCGACUGCACCAAGCGUAUAUGUUGGAAUGGUCCGAGUGCAGUAGAAAAACACACUGAUUUUGUGACAUUCGUGUAAGGGAUGGGUUCUUUUACCAUAGUAUACAUUAUAUUUAAAUACAGCAUAUUGGCAAAACAAUCUAGAAACCCUCCAACUGAUUGUAAAAGUACCCUCCCAUAAGAAAACCCCCGAUUCCCGUUCUGCCACGCCCAGCCACUUCCUUCCUGCCUGCCUGCCUGCCUGCCUCUCAGCCUUGUAUGCAGGCAGCUGAAAGAAGUUUGAUGAUGCUAUUUCUUGGGCAUCCUUGUUCCUGUCCUUUUGGAAAGGCGUCCCAAGGGGUGGAGUGUGCAUGGAUUCAGCACUGCAACACCUUCAGAGGGGAUGCACGCUCCGGGGAGAGAUGCAGACCAACCACUCUGCCGAGAAAUGCUAAGGAAUCCUCCCCAUUGUCUCCUUCCUUGGGACCUUGAAACCAGGAGAGAAUUUCACGGAUCUCUUAGCAAAUCCACCGGUUAGGACACGUGAGAGCUGCAAGGAGAGGCGUCCCAAGGGGUGGAGUGUGCAUGGAUUCAGCACUGCAACACCUUCAGAGGGGAUGCACGCUCCGGGGAGAGAUGCAGACCAACCACUCUGCCGAGAAAUGCUAAGGAAUCCUCCCCAUUGUCUCCUUCCUUGGGACCUUGAAACCAGGAGAGAAUUUCACGGAUCUCUUAGCAAAUCCACCGGUUAGGACACGUGAGAGCUGCAAGGAGAGGCGUCCCAAGGGGUGGAGUGUGCAUGGAUUCAGCACUGCAACACCUUCAGAGGGGAUGCACGCUCCGGGGAGAGAUGCAGACCAACCACUCUGCCGAGAAAUGCUAAGGAAUCCUCCCCAUUGUCUCCUUCCUUGGGACCUUGAAACCAGGAGAGAAUUUCACGGAUCUCUUAGCAAAUCCACCGGUUAGGACACGUGAGAGCUGCAAGGAGAGGGAAGUCUCACAGCCUCAUUCUCCCUUCAGCACUGUGGAGAACAAGGAAGGAUCAACUGCUGACCGUGCAAGGUGCCAAUUAGCUCCGGAUAUCAGGGUUUUCAGUGUUCCCUAAGGAGGCAGUGGGGCAGGGAAUACCAACCUUGAAGAUGUCAACCUGUGGCUUGAUAUAUUGUUCUGUAGCUAAGAUUUUUGUAAAGCACUGUGGGAGGUUCACCUGGAAGCAGUGAAUAAAUGCAAAAACAUAAAAUAAAAUAGAAUGAAAUAAAAUAAAACCAGUUUGGUGACAAGGCACUUUAAGGAAUGCUGCCCCCUCCCCCCAUAUGAGGCUCCUUGCCCAUGACGCUCCUCAGAGGAGACCCUUUGACAUGCUCCUUUGACAUGCCCCUUUGACAUGCUCCUUUGACAUGCUCCUUUGACCCUUUGACAUGCUCCUUUGCUUUCUGAGAUUCGCGUGAGAGGGCCACGUGAGACAGCACCACUUUUUCUGCGACAGCACCCACCGUAUGGAACUCCCUGCCACAGGAUGCAAGCUUAGUUCACUCUGAGCAUUCGGUUUGGGAAAUGGUGUCUGUUUCCACAGCUCUUGCUGGGGGUAAUGAGAAGUGUGGGCUCCUUCCACCAGGCUCCAAACCUCUCCCUCUCCCCAUCUUCCUCUCCACACACCCCACCUCCGCACCAAUCUUUCUCAACGUCAUCUGCUACGGCCACCAUCUAUCCACUCAGGGACAGAAGCUCAAAAUCAUUUGAGAAAACCCAGUAGCUUGGUGAAGUCAGUGUGAGGAUGGAACAAGCAGACAGAGACAAAAAUGAGUGGGACCAAAAAGAAAGCACCUGAUUGACAUCCAGUAAGUAGAAUAAAUGGGUGAUGUAGAUGUAUUUCAUUUGCUAUUGAUGGUUUCAUGAGCAGAUACAGACAAUGUGCAUCUGGUAGCC